rnacentral:rRNA from 1 species
GGGUUGUGAGGUUAAGCGACUAAGCGUACACGGUGGAUGCCCUGGCAGUCAGAGGCGAUGAAGGACGUGCUAAUCUGCGAAAAGCGUCGGUAAGGUGAUAUGAACCGUUAUAACCGGCGAUGUCCGAAUGGGGAAACCCAGUGCAAUUCGUUGCACUAUCGUUAACUGAAUACAUAGGUUAACGAGGCGAACCGGGGGAACUGAAACAUCUAAGUACCCCGAGGAAAAGAAAUCAACCGAGAUUCCCCCAGUAGCGGCGAGCGAACGGGGAGCAGCCCAGAGUCUGAAUCAGCUUGUGUGUUAGUGGAACGGUCUGGAAAGUCCGACGGUACAGGGUGAUAGUCCCGUACACCAAAAUGCACAGGUUGUGAACUCGAAGAGUAGGGCGGGACACGUGGUAUCCUGUCUGAAUAUGGGGGGACCAUCCUCCAAGGCUAAAUACUCCUGACUGACCGAUAGUGAACCAGUACCGUGAGGGAAAGGCGAAAAGAACCCCGGCGAGGGGAGUGAAAAAGAACCUGAAACCGUGUACGUACAAGCAGUGGGAGCACCUUCGGGUGUGACUGCGUACCUUUUGUAUAAUGGGUCAGCGACUUAUAUUCUGUAGCAAGGUUAACCGUAUAGGGGAGCCGCAGGGAAACCGAGUCUUAACUGGGCGUUAAGUUGCAGGGUAUAGACCCGAAACCCGGUGAUCUAGCCAUGGGCAGGUUGAAGGUUGGGUAACACUAACUGGAGGACCGAACCGACUAAUGUUGAAAAAUUAGCGGAUGACUUGUGGCUGGGGGUGAAAGGCCAAUCAAACCGGGAGAUAGCUGGUUCUCCCCGAAAGCUAUUUAGGUAGCGCCUCGUGAAUUCAUCUUCGGGGGUAGAGCACUGUUUCGGCUAGGGGGUCAUCCCGACUUACCAACCCGAUGCAAACUACGAAUACCGAAGAAUGUUAUCACGGGAGACACACGGCGGGUGCUAACGUCCGUCGUGAAGAGGGAAACAACCCAGACCGCCAGCUAAGGUCCCAAAGUCAUGGUUAAGUGGGAAACGAUGUGGGAAGGCACAGACAGCCAGGAUGUUGGCUUAGAAGCAGCCAUCAUUUAAAGAAAGCGUAAUAGCUCACUGGUCGAGUCGGCCUGCGCGGAAGAUGUAACGGGGCUAAACCAUGCACCGAAGCUGCGGCAGCGACACUAUGUGUUGUUGGGUAGGGGAGCGUUCUGUAAGCCUGCGAAGGUGACCUGUGAGGGUUGCUGGAGGUAUCAGAAGUGCGAAUGCUGACAUAAGUAACGAUAAAGCGGGUGAAAAGCCCGCUCGCCGGAAGACCAAGGGUUCCUGUCCAACGUUAAUCGGGGCAGGGUGAGUCGACCCCUAAGGCGAGGCCGAAAGGCGUAGUCGAUGGGAAACAGGUUAAUAUUCCUGUACUUGGUGUUACUGCGAAGGGGGGACGGAGAAGGCUAUGUUAGCCGGGCGACGGUUGUCCCGGUUUAAGCAUGUAGGCUGAUUAUCCAGGCAAAUCCGGAUAAUCAAGGCUGAGGUGUGAUGACGAGGCACUACGGUGCUGAAGUAACAAAUGCCCUGCUUCCAGGAAAAGCCUCUAAGCAUCAGGUAACAUCAAAUCGUACCCCAAACCGACACAGGUGGUCAGGUAGAGAAUACCAAGGCGCUUGAGAGAACUCGGGUGAAGGAACUAGGCAAAAUGGUGCCGUAACUUCGGGAGAAGGCACGCUGGUGUGUAGGUGAAGCCCCUGCGGGUGGAGCUGAGACCAGUCGAAGAUACCAGCUGGCUGCAACUGUUUAUUAAAAACACAGCACUGUGCAAACACGAAAGUGGACGUAUACGGUGUGACGCCUGCCCGGUGCCGGAAGGUUAAUUGAUGGGGUUAUCCGUAAGGAGAAGCUCUUGAUCGAAGCCCCGGUAAACGGCGGCCGUAACUAUAACGGUCCUAAGGUAGCGAAAUUCCUUGUCGGGUAAGUUCCGACCUGCACGAAUGGCGUAAUGAUGGCCAGGCUGUCUCCACCCGAGACUCAGUGAAAUUGAACUCGCUGUGAAGAUGCAGUGUACCCGCGGCAAGACGGAAAGACCCCGUGAACCUUUACUAUAGCUUGACACUGAACAUUGAGCCUUGAUGUGUAGGAUAGGUGGGAGGCUUUGAAGCGUGGACGCCAGUCUGCGUGGAGCCAACCUUGAAAUACCACCCUUUAAUGUUUGAUGUUCUAACGUUGGCCCCUGACCGGGGUUGCGGACAGUGUCUGGUGGGUAGUUUGACUGGGGCGGUCUCCUCCCAAAGCGUAACGGAGGAGCACGAAGGUUAGCUAAUCCUGGUCGGACAUCAGGAGGUUAGUGCAAUGGCAUAAGCUAGCUUGACUGCGAGCGUGACGGCGCGAGCAGGUGCGAAAGCAGGUCAUAGUGAUCCGGUGGUUCUGAAUGGAAGGGCCAUCGCUCAACGGAUAAAAGGUACUCCGGGGAUAACAGGCUGAUACCGCCCAAGAGUUCAUAUCGACGGCGGUGUUUGGCACCUCGAUGUCGGCUCAUCACAUCCUGGGGCUGAAGUAGGUCCCAAGGGUAUGGCUGUUCGCCAUUUAAAGUGGUACGCGAGCUGGGUUUAGAACGUCGUGAGACAGUUCGGUCCCUAUCUGCCGUGGGCGCUGGAGAAUUGAGGGGGGCUGCUCCUAGUACGAGAGGACCGGAGUGGACGCAUCACUGGUGUUCGGGUUGUCAUGCCAAUGGCACUGCCCGGUAGCUAAAUGCGGAAGAGAUAAGUGCUGAAAGCAUCUAAGCACGAAACUUGCCCCGAGAUGAGUUCUCCCUGAGACUUUAAGUCUCCUGAAGGAACGUUGAAGACGACGACGUUGAUAGGCCGGGUGUGUAAGCGCAGCGAUGCGUUGAGCUAACCGGUACUAAUGAACCGUGAGGCUUAACCUUACAACGCCGAAG